rnacentral:lncRNA from 1 species
CCACUUUUCACUCUGAAAUUAUAUGCGAAAUUUUUAUUCUGAUUUCAAUUCCCAGCGAAAUUGGAAUCUUUUCAAUUACCCAUUUUUUCAAUCCGGUAUAGAAGAUCAGAUUAGAAAUUGAAUUCGGACGAAAUAAAAUUUUUUAAAUUAAAUUUAUUUUUUUUAAGUUUAUUUUUUAAUUAAAAUAUAAGUCUAAGUUUAAAAAUUAUAUUUAUAAAUUUAAAUUUAAAUUUAAAUUUAAAUUUAAACUUAAAUUAAAAAUUAAAAUUCAAUCGAGCAUUUUGAAUCUAAUUAAUAAAUUUAAAUUUACAUUUAAAUUUAAUUUAAAAUUUAAAGUUUUUUCAAAUUUCAUUUGAAAUUUAAAUUAAAUUUAUGGAUUCAAAUUGAAAUUGAAAUUAUAUUUUAAGUUUGAAUUUGAAUAAAUCGAAAUUUGGUUUUAUAUUUUGAAUUAUCUGUUCAAUUUCAAAUUUUAAUUUUCUUAAAAAGUAUAUUUAAAAUUUUAACAUUUUUUAAAAAUUUUGAAGUAACUUUUUAUUAUUUAAUUUUCAUUCUGAAUUUAAACUAAUAUAUUAGAAAGAUAAAAUUAGCAUAUUAAUUUGAUUAUGUUUUUGAUAUCUAUAUAAAUCAAACACUGACAAUAAAAAUAAUUUAUUCUGAUUCCGAUUUCGAUUCAGGUGGCGAAUUAAACAGAAUGCAGGUAAUGAAUUAUUCCGAUUCCAUUCUCAGCUUAUUCUCUCUUCAAUUUCAAUGUCGAUUCCGACUACGAGCCAAACACAUCCUAAUAAGUGGCUCAAAUUUUAGCCUGAUUAUGAUUUUCAAAAAUCAAGAGUGUAAUUUAUCUUAUUUAAGGUCCGGAAGAUACACUAGUUUUUUUGUUUUUUUUUUUUAGAGAUAGAUAGCAUGCUACCAGUUUCGUUUAUUUCAUUUAGAAAUAAAUUUAGCUGGAAAUGUGAAUCAACUAGGAUUCGAACUUGGGACCUCGGAUACCAACCACCAAGCCCUUUGCCACUUGCUUUAGGGACAGUCGGUUAGUAGAAAGUUGCAUUUCUAACGAUUCCCCCACAUUUCUGUACGUGAUGGUCACUCCAAUUUCAUCACAUGAGCCAGAUGUGCCAAAUUCUAAUGUCACUGGUACUAAAAUGCUCACUAACUAAUAUUUUCAUCGUGCAGUUAUUUGAUCUUCUUCAUUUGAACUUAAAACUUAUUAUUGCCUAUCGACCGGCUCUAAUACAAGUAACAAAAAAUUUGAUGAUUAGUAUUUGAGAUUCUAAAUUUAAAAUCUAAUUAUUUUUUAUUUUAGAAGCUGGUAACAUACUAUCGCUCUCUUUGAAAAUAUUUUUUUUUUUUUUGAGAGAUAGGUAACACGUUAUCUGCUUCGUUUAUUUCAUUUAGAAAUAAACUUAGCUAGAAAUGUGAAUUAAUUAGGAUUCGAACUUGAAUUUCGAAUACCAACUACCAAAUCCUUUACCACUUGCUCUAGAGAAAAUGUUAUAAAUAAACAUUUUGCCAUCUAACGUCCGCACUUUCAUUCACAAUA